rnacentral:tRNA from 1 species
UUAAAGAUGUUAGAAGAUAUAAUAAGUUUGUUUUAGGAACAAAAAAUGGGUAUAAUCCCUCUUUAAG